GACGAACGCUGGCGGCGUGCUUAACACAUGCAAGUCGAACGCUGAAGCUCAGCUUUUGUUGGGUGGAUGAGUGGCGAACGGGUGAGUAACACGUGAGUAACCUGCCCCCUUCUUUGGGAUAACGCCCGGAAACGGGUGCUAAUACUGGAUAUUCACUGGUCUUCGCAUGGGGGUUGGUGGAAAGGGUUUUUCUGGUGGGGGAUGGGCUCGCGGCCUAUCAGCUUGUUGGUGGGGUGAUGGCCUACCAAGGCUUUGACGGGUAGCCGGCCUGAGAGGGUGACCGGUCACAUUGGGACUGAGAUACGGCCCAGCCUCCUACGGGAGGCAGCAGUGGGGAAUAUUGCACAAUGGGCGCAAGCCUGAUGCAGCGACGCCGCGUGAGGGAUGGAGGCCUUCGGGUUGUGAACCUCUUUCGCUCAUGGUCAAGCCGCAACAAUGGUUGUGGUGAGGGUAGUGGGUAAAGAAGCGCCGGCUAACUACGUG
rnacentral:rRNA from 1 species